rnacentral:rRNA from 1 species
AACGAACGCUGGCGGCGUGGAUAAGACAUGCAAGUCGAACGGGACAGGUAGCAAUAUCUGUCUAGUGGCGAACGGGUGCGUAACACGUGGGCAACAUGCCUGAAAGCGCGGGAUAGCCCGGGGAAACUCGGAUUAAUACCGCAUGUGACAACGGGGUGGAUUCACUCUGUUUUCAAAGGUGGGGACCGCAAGGCCUGCCGCUUUCAGAUUGGCCCGCGGCCUAUCAGCUAGUUGGUAAGGUAACGGCUUACCAAGGCUAAGACGGGUAGCUGGUCUGAGAGGACGACCAGCCACACUGGAACUGAGACACGGUCCAGACACCUACGGGUGGCAG